UUGAACGCUGGCGGCAUGCCUUACACAUGCAAGUCGAACGGCAGCACGGGAGCAAUCCUGGUGGCGAGUGGCGAACGGGUGAGUAAUACAUCGGAACGUGCCCAGUAGUGGGGGAUAACCCGGCGAAAGCCGGACUAAUACCGCAUACGACCUACGGGUGAAAGCAGGGGAUCGCAAGACCUUGCGCUAUCGGAGCGGCCGAUGUCAGAUUAGCUUGUUGGCGGGGUAAAAGCCCACCAAGGCGACGAUCUGUAGCUGGUCUGAGAGGACGACCAGCCACACUGGGACUGAGACACGGCCCAGACUCCUACGGGAGGCAGCAGUGGGGAAUUUUGGACAAUGGGCGCAAGCCUGAUCCAGCCAUGCCGCGUGCGGGAAGAAGGCCUC
rnacentral:rRNA from 1 species